GCAGCCGCCACGGGAAUACGAAGGGGGCUAGCGUUGUUCGGAUUUACUGGGCGUAAAGGGCUCGCAGGCGGUUUCUUAAGUCUGAUGUGAAAGCCCCCGGCUCAACCGGGGAGGGUCAUUGGAAACUGGGAAACUUGAGUGCAGAAGAGGAGAGUGGAAUUCCACGUAUAGCGGUGAAAUGCGUAGAGAUGUGGAGGAACACCAGUGGCGAAGGCGACUCUCUGGUCUGUAACUGACGCUGAGGAGCGAAAGCGUGGGGAGCGAACAGGAUUAGAUACCCGAGUAGUCCCUGUCUCUUAUAC
rnacentral:rRNA from 1 species